UACGGGGGGAGCAAGCGUUGUUCGGAUUUACUGGGCGUAAAGGGCGCGUAGGCGGUCAGCACAAGUCAGUUGUGAAAUCUCCGGGCUUAACUCGGAAAGGUCAACUGAUACUGUGCGACUAGAGUGGCAGAAGGGGCAACUGGAAUUCGUCGGUGUAGCGGUGAAAUGCGUAGAUAUCGAGAGGAACACCUGCGGCGAAGGCGGGUUGCUGGGCUGACACUGACGCUGAUGCGCGAAAGCCAGGGGAGCGAACGGG
rnacentral:rRNA from 1 species